AUUGAACGCUGGCGGCAGGCCUAACACAUGCAAGUCGAGCGGAUGAAGGGAGCUUGCUCCUGGAUUCAGCGGCGGACGGGUGAGUAAUGCCUAGGAAUCUGCCUGGUAGUGGGGGAUAACGUCCGGUAACGGGCGCUAAUACCGCAUACGUCCUGAGGGAGAAAGUGGGGGUUCUUCGGACCUCACGCUAUCAGAUGAGCCUAGGUCGGAUUAGCUAGUUGGUGGGGUAAAGGCCUACCAAGGCGACGAUCCGUAACUGGUCUGAGAGGCUGAUCAGUCACACUGGAAUUGGGACACGGUCCAGACUCCUACGGGGGGCAGCAGUGGGGAAUAUUGGACAAUGGGCGAAAGCCUGAUCCAGCCAUGCCGCGUGUGUGAGGAAGGUCUUCGGAUUGUAAAGCUCUUUAAGUUGGGAGGAAGGGCAGUAAGUUAAUACCUUGCUGUUUUGACGUUACCUACAGAAUAAGCACCGGCUAACUUCGUG
rnacentral:rRNA from 1 species